rnacentral:misc_RNA from 1 species
GAAGCAUUUUAGCGGGACGCACAAUUUUCCUCAACCUCGGCCUGGUCGAUGCUAAGAAUCAACGUCACCGAAAUACCGCGGUGUAACUUUAAAAAAAAUAGGUCGAUUAAGAGCGCCGAUAUCCAUCAAACUGUCUCUUAAAAUGUUCGGCCGGCGAUCGAAACAUAAUCUCGAAAUGGAGAAUGAAUACAGAAACACGAUUCUACUACGUUCAAAAGAAAAAAAGGAGACUGAGUAAAUAGCGUACUCAUAAACAAUAAUUAAUCGACUCGACCAUAAAUAAACGCGGAGAAACCAACGAUCGAUCGGUAAGGGAUCGUUCCAGUUGGAUUCCUCGAAGGAGGCUCACCGGAUAAUACCUACAUUCUUCGGUACUCGGGCAGGAAUUUUUCUAACUAAAUUUAAAGGAUAAUCAGGAUUGCAGCGAUUAUCUACAAUUACUCCAUUGCUCGGAGUAAUUGUGUUAAUAGGCCAGAAAGAACGAACUCGAAGCCCACGAGAAUCGUUUCGC